GGAUGAACGCUGGCGGCGUGCCUAAUACAUGCAAGUCGAGCGAACGGACGAGAAGCUUGCUUCUCUGAUGUUAGCGGCGGACGGGUGAGUAACACGUGGAUAACCUACCUAUAAGACUGGGAUAACUUCGGGAAACCGGAGCUAAUACCGGAUAAUAUUUUGAACCGCAUGGUUCAAAAGUGAAAGACGGUCUUGCUGUCACUUAUAGAUGGAUCCGCGCUGCAUUAGCUAGUUGGUAAGGUAACGGCUUACCAAGGCAACGAUGCAUAGCCGACCUGAGAGGGUGAUCGGCCACACUGGAACUGAGACACGGUCCAGACUCCUACGGGAGGCAGCAGUAGGGAAUCUUCCGCAAUGGGCGAAAGCCUGACGGAGCAACGCCGCGUGAGUGAUGAAGGUCUUCGGAUCGUAAAACUCUGUUAUUAGGGAAGAACAUAUGUGUAAGUAACUGUGCACAUCUUGACGGUACCUAAUCAGAAAGCCACGGCUAACCACGUG
rnacentral:rRNA from 1 species